rnacentral:sRNA from 1 species
CCGGUGCCUGGCCGGCCUUCAAGGAAAACCAGGAGGAGGAUUACACGGCGAGUGCCUCCCUUUCCCAAAACCCCGUGGGUG